CUGCCUUCAAUUUGCCGGGGCCAUUGAGAAAUCUCGAGCAGUUUGGAGGCAAUGUAAUGAGGACACAGCAAUAGAAUUGAUAUCAUGGAUAGGCAGUUUUUAUGUCACUGGUUCUCCGUCAGGACCAGAACAGCUCAGAGGGCUUUAAACUCCUGAAGAAAUCCAACUGCUGUUAGUCUGGGCUGUAAAUCCCCUGGCUUGUUAUAAUCCCUCAGUGCAGUGACAUGCACAGUGCUUGAAACUUCAAAGCGCCAAGACUGGGGCUGUUCUGAAGCUGAGAAAUA
rnacentral:lncRNA from 12 species